AUUGAACGCUGGCGGCAGGCCUAACACAUGCAAGUCGAGCGGAGCGGAGGAGGGGUGAGAAAUGCCUAGGAAUCUGCCCGGUAGUGGGGGAUAACGUCCGGAAACGGGCGCUAAUACCGCAUACUAGCAGAUGAGCCUAGGUCGGAAUCGCUAGUUGGUGGGGUAAAGGCCUACCAAGGCGACGAUCCGUAACUGGUCUGAGAGGAGGAUCAGUCACACUGGAACGGGGACGUGUUCCAGACUCCUACGGGAGGCAGCAGUGGGGAAUAUUGGACAAUGGUCGAAAGUAUGAGCCAUCCAUGCCGCGUGUGUGGAGAAGGUCUUCGGAUUGGAAAGCAGUUUAAGUUGGGAGGCGGUACCAACAGAAUAAGCACCGGCUAACUUCGUGCCAGCAGCCGCGGUAAUAC
rnacentral:rRNA from 1 species